rnacentral:misc_RNA from 1 species
GAUGCAGAACGUAGCGAAAUGCGAUACUUGGUGUGAAUUGCAGAAUCCCGUGAACCAUCGAGUCUUUGAACGCAAGUUGCGCCCGAAGCCACUAGGCCGAGGGCACGCCUGCCUGGGCGUCACACGCCGUUGCCCCCCCAUCUACUCCUUCGGGAUUGCGGGGGGGCGGAUGAUGGCCUCCCGUGCGCCUAGCCGCGCGGUUGGCAUAAAUACCAAGUCCUCGGCGACGCACGCCACGACAAUCGGUGGUUGCGAAACCUCGGUUGCCCGUCGUGUGCGUUCGUCGCGCAUCGAGGGCUCGAAAAAAUGCUCGGCUCCGGCUGGGCUUUCAACGCGACCCCAGGUCAGGCGGGGUUACCCGCUGAAUUUAAGCAUAUCAAUAAGCGGAGGA